GUUUCGCAUCAAUGUUCAUUCAAUUGCUUCAAGUUUUGUCACAGCCACAAACGAAGAAUGUUUACGAAGCUCAAAGCCACAUGUUUGAUAAGUGUCGUCGUCGUCUGUACAAUUCGCAUUGUAUGUUUGUAAAAUAAAGCAAUGUUACACUUCGUUCGUUGAAGUUUGGUGAAGAAGCCAUUAUCUUUAAAGUUGAAAGCGAUGUGGUGCGGAUAUAAUCAACAACAACUUGAUUUUCACGUUUGCCAGAGUCAGGAAUACUUUUAAAAAAGUUUUGACACCGCCAUACAUGAAGAAUAAUGUUUACGAAGCGCAAAGCCACAUGAUGUGACAAGCUGAUGAAAAGCUUGAGUAUCUGUUCAAGGAUUAUCGACGAUGAUCAUCGUGUGGUACAAGGCCUGCUCCUUUUCCCUCCCUUUAGCUAGGUGCGCUGAGAGAAGGUCCCUGACAAAGGACGGGUUGCGUGUUCUUCGGAGCUCGCUUUAACGUAACGUGGUCAUGUCGGACUAGAGCGCCCCAUUAGGCUCCCGCAAUGAAAUUUUCUGAUAAAGAUACAUUCUUAGAUAAUUAAGUCAAGCAGUUAAGUUAAGAAAAGUUCCUUUGUUUGUCUGAGGGAGCAAAAUAAAAGGGUCUAUGUUAUUGUGUGUAGUUGGUGUCAUUGUAAGGUUUAAGCUGGUGAGUUUACAAAUGUUUGGAUAAGGUUUGGACGAGGAACCACCUUAGACUUGAAGGUCAAUACGGGGACAUGUAUCUUUGCCAAGACGUCAACAAAUCCAUUAAGCCCACUUCCAUCUCAGCAACAAUGGAAGAAACUUGCGUUGCUGAGCUCUGCUGGCUGGGUGGCGUCACCGCACAUCGACCCAGCUACCCAAUGACUUCCCUGAAUUUUCAUUAUGUGAAAACUGAAAAAAAAAGAAUGAUUGUGCAUGCAUGAAGGAGUAUUGGUACCAACCAAGUAAGGAGCAUUACAACUUGUUACUACUUGUACCAAAAUGACAAAAAGAUUUAUUAACAAUUGUGAUUUUUCUGAACAAUGAUGAAAGUGCAUGUCAACUUCUUUAACAGAAGGGGA